CCUACGGGCGGCAGCAGUGGGGAAUAUUGGACAAUGGGCGAAAGCCUGAUCCAGCCAUGCCGCGUGUGUGAAGAAGGCCUUCGGGUUGUAAAGCACUUUCAGUGGGGAAGAAAGCCUUGGGGCUAAUACCCUCGAGGAAGGACAUCACCCACGGAAGAAGCACCGGCUAACUCCGUGCCAGCAGCCGCGGUAAUACGGAGGGUGCGAGCGUUAAUCGGAAUUACUGGGCGUAAAGCGCGCGUAGGCGGUCUGAUAAGCCGGUUGUGAAAGCCCCGGGCUCAACCUGGGAACGGCAUCCGGAACUGUCAGGCUAGAGUGCAGGAGAGGAAGGUAGAAUUCCCGGUGUAGCGGUGAAAUGCGUAGAGAUCGGGAGGAAUACCAGUGGCGAAGGCGGCCUUCUGGACUGACACUGACGCUGAGGUGCGAAAGCGUGGGUAGCAAACAGGAUUAGAUACCCUUGUAGUC
rnacentral:rRNA from 1 species